rnacentral:rRNA from 1 species
UACCAGCUCUCCGAGUGGUAGGGAUGAUUAUUGGGCUUAAAGCGUCCGUAGCCGGCUUAGCAAGUUUCCUGUUAAAUUCAGCGACCUAAUCGUUGAGCCGCGGGAAAUACUACUAGGCUAGGAGGCGGGAGAGGUCGACAGUACUUCUGGGGUAGGGGUGAAAUCCUAUAAUCCCGGGAGGACCACCAGUGGCGAAGGCUGUCGACUAGAACGCGCUCGACGGUGAGGGACGAAAGCUGGGGGAGCGAACCGGAUUAGAUACCCGGGUAGUCCCAGCUGUAAACGAUGCGGGCUAGGUGUUGGGGUGGCUACGUGCCACUUCAGUGCCGCAGGGAAGCCAUUAAGCCCGCCGCCUGGGGAGUACGGCCGCAAGGCUGAAACUUAAAGGAAUUGGCGGGGAGCACCACAAGGCGUGAAGCUUGCGGUUC